GACGAACGCUGGCGGCGUGCCUAAUACAUGCAAGUCGAACGGAAAGGCCCUGCUUUUGUGGGGUGCACGAGUGGCGAACGGGUGAGUAACACGUGAGUAACCUGCCCUUGACAGAGGGAUAACAUCAGGAAACUGCGGCUAAUACCGCAUAGGAGCUCCUGCUGCAUGGUGGGGGGUGGAAAGUUUCGGCGGUUGGGGAUGGACUAGAUGGUUACAAGCUUGUUGGUGGGGUAGUGGCUUACCAAGGCUUUGACGGGUAGCCGACAUGAGAGGGUGGCCGGCCACAUUGGGACUGAGAUAGGGACCAGACUCCUACCUGCGGCAGCAGGGGGGAAUAUUGCACAAUGGGCGGAAGCCUGAUGCAGGAACGCCCGGUGCGGGAAGACGGCCUUUGGGUUGAAAACAACUUUCGCCUGUGACGAAGCGUGAGUGACGGUAAUGGAUAAAGAAGCACCGGCUAACUACGUG
rnacentral:rRNA from 1 species